GAUGAACGCUGGCGGCGUGCCUAAUACAUGCAAGUCGAGCGAACAGACGAGGAGCUUGCCCCUCUGACGUUAGCGGCGGACGGGUGAGUAACACGUGGAUAACCUACCUAUAAGACUGGGAUAACUUCGGGAAACCGGAGCUAAUACCGGAUAAUAUAUUGAACCGCAUGGUUCAAUAGUGAAAGACGGUUUUGCUGUCACUUAUAGAUGGAUCCGCGCCGCAUUAGCUAGUUGGUAAGGUAACGGCUUACCAAGGCAACGAUGCGUAGCCGACCUGAGAGGGUGAUCGGCCACACUGGAACGGAGACACGGUCCAGACUCCUACGGGAGGCAGCAGUAGGGAAUCUUCCGCAAUGGGCGAAAGCCUGACGGAGCAACGCCGCGUGAGUGAUGAAGGUCUUCGGAUCGUAAAACUCUGUUAUUAGGGAAGAACAAAUGUGUAAGUAACUAUGCACGUCUUGACGGUACCUAAUCAGAAAGCCACGGCUAACUACGUG
rnacentral:rRNA from 1 species